GAGACUGGGUUUCUGGAGAAUUUGGGGCAGUUCGGUAUCUUCCCAGGUCAAACGAGUGAUAAGCUUGGAUUCCCAAUGCACUUGCUCUGAACUCAGCUUCUCCAUGGCCAAUCAUCUUAGAACUGAAGCAAUUCCUCAGAGGUCUGUGAAUCGCAUCCUCGCUCUCUGAGCCAUCAGAGAACCAAGGAGCCACCUUAUCUUGCAAACAAAGCAUCUUAUAACCUACCCUCCCCCACCCAGGCUGAAUGGCUGCCUGUCUCAGCCUCAGACCUCAUUUCUAUUCCCAGCAGAUCCUACUUGUCCAGAAAGGAAAGAUCGGAGCAUCCUGGACACAGGGAGCCCGUGAAAGGGAAGGAAGGAAGGAAGGAAGGAGUCAGGAGCAGCUUCUGGUUGUUGCAACAUUCUGGAGAGAGACAGAUGGGUCUGGACGCCAUGUGGGCCGGCAGCACCAGACUUCGGCGCACGCACGGCCCCCAGGUGCUUUCCUGCUCCUCCCGUGCCAGCUGGAGCAGUCGCCUCUGGAUCCAAGGUUCAAGGCCUGCCUAACUCCUGUUAUUGGCCCUGCUUAUAUCUCAGCAGGUGGCCAAGCUCCCUGCAUCCAGCUCUACACAGAAAAGUCAUUUCUAUGAAGGAACUGGUAGAAGGCAUUUUAGGGUUCAGGGUCAGGAAAAUGUCCUGAGUAUGUAAUACGGAUUUUACAAUUCCAUUUUAUAGAUGACCAAGCUGAGUCUUGGUAAGGCUAAGUGAUACCCAGACCACACAGCCAGGAAGUGCUGAGGCUGGGACUUGGCAGGCUCUCAGGCUCCAAACCUGAACUUCCCACGGGUGUGUUUGUAUUUUGAGGAAUGGACAAAUACACAGGAGGGAAAACCGGGGUGAGUUCCAAAUAACGUAAUAUAUUCACAGACAGAGUCACAUUCCCUGACUUCUGCUGUGUCUGAGCCUCUCUCAAAUGGGUGUCCCUAAGCUGCCUGUGCCUCGGCCAUGUGGCUCCCCCUUGUGGCUCACCUAUGUCUUGCAGCUCCCGGUUCUGUUUGUCCAGGAGCUGUUCUA